rnacentral:tRNA from 1 species
CAUUAAGAAGCUAUUUCAGCAUUAACCUUUUAAGUUAAAGACUGGGAAUUAAAAUUUUUCCCCUUAAUGA